rnacentral:rRNA from 1 species
UACGGAAGGGUGCUAGCGUUGUUCGGAAUUACUGGGCGUAAAGGGCGUGUAGGCGGACAUAUCAGUCAGGGGUGAAAUCCCGGGGCUCAACCCCGGAACUGCCUUUGAUACUGUAUGUCUAGAAUCUGUGAGGGGAUAGUGGAAUAUCAAGUGUAGAGGUGAAAUUCGUAGAUAUUUGAUGGAACACCAGUGGCGAAGGCGACUAUCUGGCACAGUAUUGACGCUGAGGCGCGAAAGCGUGGGGAGCAAACAGGAUAGAUACCCGUGCGUC